GGUGUGGGUGAAAAAAGAAGACAAGCUGAAUGCAUGAUGCUACUGAACUUGGAUUCUUCGCUGUUAGGAGCUUCAGUACAUCAUGAGGAGUGAGUGAAAUACAUACCAAUCAGAAGAAUGACGAUUUCUAUCUGUGCGACUGUCAUAGUUCCAAGCGGGAUGGCUACUUUUUGAGGCUGAAUCUUCCUUCUAUUGUUUCUUAGCACAGUUCGGGGUCCAGUAUAUUCUUGUAGUCAUUUAUGCAGUAAAUAUACAUCCCCUCUUGAUGUAUUUGGUACAUACAAUGGUACAGUAUUAAAUAUUCUGAAUUCUGAUUGUUAAGCUCAAAAUUGUCCCUUGAUUUA